rnacentral:rRNA from 1 species
GACGAACGCUGGCGGCGUGCUUAACACAUGCAAGUCGAACGGAAAGGCACUGCUUUUGUGGGGUGCUCGAGUGGCGAACGGGUGAGUAACACGUGAGUAACCUGCCCUUGACUUUGGGAUAACUUCAGGAAACUGGGGUUAAUACCGGAUAGGAGCUCCUGCUGCAUGGUGGGGGUUGGAAAGUUUCGGCGGUUGGGGAUGGACUCGCGGCUUAUCAGCUUGUUGGUGGGGUAGUGGCUUACCAAGGCUUUGACGGGUAGCCGGCCUGAGAGGGUGACCGGCCACAUUGGGACUGAGAGACGGCCCAGACUGCUACGGUAGGCAGCAGUGGGGAAUAUUGCACAAUGGGCGGAAGCCUGAUGCAGCAACGCCGCGUUCGUGAUGACGGCCUGCGGGUUGUAAACCGCUUUCGCCUGUGACGAAGCGUGAGUGACGGUAAUGGGUAAAGAAGCACCGGCUAACUACGUG